rnacentral:rRNA from 1 species
AUGCUGCACACCACACUACAUGGCAUGACCCGCCGUACCAGACGACACACCCCCACCGAACUACAUAGUCGUUCUGGCAAGGGAGGCGCACCGCACUGGAGCUGGAGGAGACUUCAGCCUCGAUGCCGAACUUCAAUGGAGAGCCAGACCAGCUGCACUUGUCGCCAGCCGCCACACCCACAGAUGUGCAGCCCGCCACCGGCACCACCCCAGCCGUACUACAAUGAGGACCCAAGCAAACCACUCCUACAUAAAUCAUACAAAAAUCUAAGGAAACACGUCUUUUUUGGAACUACACACUGA